rnacentral:rRNA from 1 species
ACUCCUACGGGAGGCAGCAGUGGGGAAUUUUGGACAAUGGGGGCAACCCUGAUCCAGCAAUGCCGCGUGUGUGAAGAAGGCCUUCGGGUUGUAAAGCACUUUGUCCGGAAAGAAAUCGCACUUACUAAUAUUAGGUGUGGAUGACGGUACCGGAAGAAUAAGGACCGGCUAACUACGUGCCAGCAGCCGCGGUAAUACGUAGGGUCCAAGCGUUAAUCGGAAUUACUGGGCGUAAAGCGUGCGCAGGCGGUUGUGCAAGACCGAUGUGAAAUCCCCGGGCUUAACCUGGGAAUUGCAUUGGUGACUGCACGGCUAGAGUGUGUCAGAGGGGGUAGAAUUCCACGUGUAGCAGUGAAAUGCGUAGAGAUGUGGAGGAAUACCGAUGGCGAAGGCAGCCCCCUGGGAUAACACUGACGCUCAUGCACGAAAGCGUGGGAGCAAACAGGAUUAGAUACCCCGUGGUAGACUGU